rnacentral:lncRNA from 1 species
AUAAGUGAUUUUUAUAGCAAGUGCACAUGGUAAGAUGGCCUUAUAUAAGUUCUUGCAAUGUUUAAUAGUCACAGUCAAAGAUCCAAAUUGACUUUCCAGAUUCGUUGGAUAAAUACAGACUCAUGUAAUCCUGACUAAAACAUAUAUAGCUAUAGGAUCUUUAAUACCAUCUUCGGCUGAUAAAACUAUUUCACAAUCAGUUCGAAUUCCUUGAGGUGACAAGCGAUGCACAUUGUUUGAC